GAAGGUAUAGCUCAGUGGUAGAGUGCAUGCUUAGCAUGCACAAGGUCCUGGGUUCAAUCCCCAGUACCUCCA
rnacentral:tRNA from 1 species